ACACGGGUGGUUCAGUGGUAGAACUCUCCCCUUCUAUGAGGGAGACCUGGGCUUGAUUUCCAGCCAAUGUA
rnacentral:tRNA from 1 species